rnacentral:lncRNA from 1 species
UUUUUUAGUAUGGCAUCACUCUGAUCAUGUAACAACGGGUUGAGAACAUUUUUUUUUCAUUUUUUUUGUUUUGUUUUAUUGAAUUUACGAUUUAUGUUUUGUCGAGAUAUCAAAGUCUGGAAAGAUGAACAACAUGACUCCUUUUGGUUGCGUUACAAAAGUUGAAGUUCAUGAGACUAAAUGUCAUGGGUUGUAAUAUUGUGUUUAUUUAAUUUAACAAUGUUUCUCUAAAUUGUUAUGUUAUAACCCG